rnacentral:rRNA from 1 species
CAGCAGCCGCGGUAAUUCGGAGGGUGCAAGCGUUGUUCGGAAUUAUUGGGCGUAAAGCGCGUGUAGGCGGUUUUUUAAGUCUGAUGUGAAAGCCCUGGGCUCAACCUGGGAAGUGCAUUGGAUACUGGAAGACUUGAGUACGGGAGAGGGUAGUGGAAUUCCGAGUGUAGGAGUGAAAUCCGUAGAUAUUCGGAGGAACACCGGUGGCGAAGGCGGCUACCUGGACCGAUACUGACGCUGAGACGCGAAAGCGUGGGGAGCAAACAGGAUUAGAUACCCUGGUAGUCCACGCCGUAAACGAUGAGUACUAGGUGUCGCGGGUAUUGACCCCUGCGGUGCCGCAGCUAACGCAUUAAGUACUCCGCCUGGGAAGUACGGUCGCAAGACUAAAACUCAAAGGAAUUGACGGGG